rnacentral:lncRNA from 1 species
UCAAACAAAAUCUCUGAAUGUUUUCCUUUUCCUCACCAGCAAAGAAAACAAAAACAGAGUUCGGUCCCGGAAUCACAACCCCUCCAGCCUCGACAAAUAAUUCAGGAGGUAAAAAUCAUUUUAUAGUUCCUUCCCUUAUGAGACCUCAAAUGUCCAAUCACAACCUUCUUAAAAUUUUGCGCUCUCCUCCUUUACCCAACCACCCGAUUUUCAUUGAUCUUCAUCUUCUUCCUUAGCUUUCUAGCUUUCUUUUACUUCUUAACACCACUCUUGUCUUUAACAACGAUAACCACAACCGACUCCGCUGCAACAUAUAAGUUAUUUUAUUUUAAAAACAAUCACUCUGCAAAGAUGAAUCAGUCGUAAAAUUUCAAAAGGUAAACGGUCAAAUAUAUAAAUAAAAUCUCAACGCACGAGCAAAGAGAUGGCAUUCUUUACCUUUAAAAAGUCAUGAAGAGCAUUAGCUUAGAUGACAAUUAAGUUCAAGCUCUUGGUUCACUCAGCCGUGGCCAAUGCUCCAGCUUCCUCGUUGAUAACAUCCAAUAU